rnacentral:tRNA from 1 species
GGGGCGGUGGUCCAGUCUGUCGGAAGACGGGGACAACUUGGUCAAAGGAACUUUACCGGUCAGAGAUACCGGUCUCGGGCACCGGUGAUCGUGGGUUCAAAUCCCACCCGCCCCACCA